rnacentral:rRNA from 1 species
AUUGAACGCUGGCGGCAUGCUUUACACAUGCAAGUCGAGCGGAGAUGAGGUGCUUGCACCUUAUCUUAGCGGCGGACGGGUGAGUAAUGCUUAGGAAUCUGCCUAUUAGUGGGGGACAACAUUCCGAAAGGAAUGCUAAUACCGCAUACGCCCUACGGGGGAAAGCAGGGGAUCUUCGGACCUUGCGCUAAUAGAUGAGCCUAAGUCGGAUUAGCUAGUUGGUGGGGUAAAGGCCUACCAAGGCGACGAUCUGUAGCGGGUCUGAGAGGAUGAUCCGCCACACUGGGACUGAGACACGGCCCAGACUCCUACGGGAGGCAGCAGUGGGGAAUAUUGGACAAUGGGCGGAAGCCUGAUCCAGCCAUGCCGCGUGUGUGAAGAAGGCCUUUUGGUUGUAAAGCACUUUAAGCGAGGAGGAGGCUACCUGGAUUAAUACUCUAGGAUAGUGGACGUUACUCGCAGAAUAAGCACCGGCUAACUCUGUGCCAGCCGCCGCGGUAACAC